rnacentral:rRNA from 1 species
UACGUAGGGUGCGAGCGUUAAUCGGAAUUACUGGGCGUAAAGCGUGCGCAGGCGGUUAUUUAAGUCAGGUGGGAAAGCCCUGGGCUUAACCUAGGAAUUGCGCUUGAGACUGGAUAGCUUGGAGUGCGGCAGAGGGAGGUGGAAUUCCACGUGUAGCAGUGAAAUGCGUAGAGAUGUGGAGGAACACCGAUGGCGAAGGCGGUUCUCUGGGCAUGAUCUGACGCUGAGGAGCGAAAGUGUGGGGAGCGAACAGG